CGUUUCCUCGGAAAGUUGUGAGCGCUUGUGUUAAAUGAAGCAAUUGAUACCCUCGCUCUCGGGAGUUGUUUCGCACUGUAUUCGUGCUCUGUCGUCAGCAGGUGCUGUCAGAGUUGUUACUUCUUAUUUCCCUUGGGAGCUAAUCUGGCUUCAUCAAGUAGCCACUUCGUGGAAGGCAGCGGUGGUGUCUGUGUUUGUAUGCCACGUUACCUGUGUUACCAGGCAUCGUUCAAACAAAUGCAACACUGAAAGUCCUCGUUUCUCACUUUAUUAGCACUUUUAUGUUAAAGUCUGUUUUGUGAGGAUUCUGUAAUUCUUGCUGUAGAGAGAGAGUGAAG